rnacentral:rRNA from 1 species
GAUGAACGCUGGCGGCGUGCCUAAUACAUGCAAGUCGAGCGAAUGGAUUAAGAGCUUGCUCUUAUGAAGUUAGCGGCGGCCGGGUGAGUAACACGUGGGUAACCUGCCCAUAAGACUGGGAUAACUCCGGGAAACCGGGGCUAAUACCGGAUAACAUUUUGAACCGCAUGGUUCGAAAUUGAAAGGCGGAUUCGGCUGUCACUUACGGAUGGAACCGCGUCGCAUUAGCUAGUUGGUGAGGUAAAGGCUCACCAAGGCCAAGAUGCUUAGCCGACCUGGGAGAGUGAACGGCCACAAUGGGACUGACACACGACCCAAACUCCUUCGGGGGGCAGCAGGAGGGAAUCGUCCGCAAACGACGAAAGUCUGACGGGGCAACGACGCGUGAGUGAAGAAGGCUUUCGGGUCGUAAAACUCUGUUGUUAGGGAAGAACAAGUGAUAGUUGAAUAAGCUGGCACCUUGACGGUACCUAACCAGAAAGCCACGGCUAACUACGUGCCAGCCGCCGCGGUAA